AAUCUGCGAUUAAUACAGAGCGGGGGUCGUGAUGGUUCGUUUGAUCUCAGAGGUGCAAACAGGCAAAAUGCAGGGGACAAAUCAGUUUAUUCAACAACAGCAAUUCAUUUUUAUUAAAUGCCAACAACUCAGUUGCAAUAGAGGGGAGAGAUAUAGGAAACAAAGUAUAGAGAGAGAAAAAGAAGGGGAUGGGAAAAUAGCUACCAACAAGACGAGACGGACAUCCUCAUGGGCCAGCCAAUAGACGAGUCUUCAUCCGUGGGGAGAUCUCAAAGGGUCUUCUCCAGAGGAUAGACGAGUCUUCAUCCGUGGGGAGAUCUCCAAGGGUCUUCUCCAGAGG